CGCUUCUGUGCCUUUGUCUAAGAUUAAAGCAGGAUGUUAAUCAAAUAAAUUGUCAUAUCUGAAAUGUGUUCUUUCAAUAAAGUGAUAUAUCUGGAUUUAAGAAAUAUACUAGCAUAAUUCUCUGAGGUUAUGAUUUAAUUUUCCAGUAAUACACAAUAGAUAAUGUCACAAAUUAUUUUCCAAAUAUUACAGAGGAAAUCUAUCUUUUCUGUGACUGUGUUUUGCUUGAGGUAAGACUGAGAAACAAAUAAAUGUAGCAAAAUAUUGAAUAGCAUUUAAAUAUAUAUUUGUGGUGGUGAUGGGCCCUUUAUUAAAAUGAUUUUGGACACUACUCUCGUUCUGUCAUAAUUGAGCAUGGUUAACCUGAUUCAUAUUCAUACCUUUUUGGAUUUAAUAUUAUGACAUCUUAUGUUCAUUCCACAAGUUUAGUCAUGAAAACUGACAUUAAUUAUUAUUAUUAUUUUUUUGGACUAUAGAACAUUUGCAAGGUGGUUUAGUUUCUUAAAAUGAUUAUAUACAAGUAACUGAUUGACACAACAGCAGGAUAUAUACGCAAAUGCCUAUAAGUGUGUUUAAUAUGACAUCUUUUUCAUUUUUGAAUGUCUUCAUGUCUCAACAGCGAAUGACUGUCACAGUGAACUGCAGGGUUUGUGAGAAGCGGUGAAGUCAUGCAUACAGAUGGCAGUGCCGGUAUUGGUGGAAAUGAUGCUUCCUGAACUGUUGUAACAGUGGUCCCAGAGGACUGAGCCACAGUCCAAUAAGAUGUCAUGAAGACUAGACUGAGAGGAAUGCGCAUCAGAUCUCCCUCAAUUAAUCCACCAUUAGAUGCCUGAGAUUCAUGGCUCACUGCCUUUGCUUACUGCGUUGGAGCUCAAAUCUAAUUAGACUCUCUCUCUUUCUGUCUCUCAGCUUCUCUUUUUCCAUGUCCAUCCCUCCUUAGAUCGAAAGAUAGACGGAUCUUUCCUCACUGAGCCCUGUGGUUGGGUAUUUUAGUUGUUCCUCCCUCCCUCUCUCUCUCUUGUUCUCUCUCCUCUCUAUCUCUCUCUCAGUAUCUUAUCCUUACAGCUACAUACUCACUCCCAGUCUGUCCCUCUCUCCACUCCUGCUUUCCCUCCCACUCUCUCUCUGUAACUCCUUCGCUCCUCUCAUCCUCCUGUGACUUAGUUUGCUGUGCGCAACAACUGGCAGACCUCUCUCCUCAUCUCCGUUGUUUGGGAGGGGAUCCUGCACGUUUGGGCACAUGGUCUUACGGCGGUGACGGAUCCGCAGCACAACAACCUGAAGGAACAGAGGCACGCCAUCCUCAGCCUUCCCCGUCACUGCCGGAUCAAGGCAGCGGACAAAUGGGCGGCUUUGUGCUCAGCGGGUGCCGCUCUGUAGAGAUCUCUAGGAUUUGGCCUGGAUGUUUGCGAGCGCUUCUGCCCCCAGAGGCCGGACUAGACCGAGGACAGGACGUGAGGUCUGUGAGCACCCUAUCCCAGGUAAGAUGAUCCCCCUCACCAUCUGUCUUUCCACAUAACUAGUUAAACC
ensembl:lncRNA